GGGUGCCGUAACUAACGCUUUAAGCAUUCCGCCUGGGGAGUACGGUCGCAAGACUGAAACUCAAAGGAAUUGACGGGGACCCGCACAAGCGGUGGACCAUGUGGUUUAAUUCGACGCAACGCGAAGAACUUACCUGGGCUAAAAUGCCCCUAACAACCCUAUAGAUACGGCCUUCUGGGUAAAACCAGACAGGGUGCUAGUGCUGCAUGGCUGUCUUCACCUCGUGUCUUGAGAUAUUGGUGUAGUCCCGCAACGAGCGCAACCCUUAUCAAUAUUUGCCGGCGGUUCUGCCGGGCACUCUA
rnacentral:rRNA from 1 species